AAGGUUGGUGAAUUUUUGCUAAACUUCACCAGGUCCAGUUGCUUUACCAUUUUGUGUCAAUCGCUAAUAGCUUCAGAAAGAGGAAAAAGCAUAAGAAAACGAAAAGAAAGCUCAUUGGGAGGGAGGGAAAGAGGCAGGCUGUUCCAUUUUUAUUAUCUGUCCUAGGGCUAAUAUAAGCCGAAUAAUACUACUACAGUAGAUGUUUAUAGCACAUUUCCCAACUUUUCAGUAGGUGCAAUGCAAUGUAACUAUCCAAACAUGAACUCAAAAUGGGACAUAGCAUGUCAACAAACAAAUGUAACGAGACAACUAAAAAUCACAUCCGACACUUAGCCAGAUGGUGUUGUUGCUCUUGACGUUGGUGCUGCUACUUCCGCUAGUGGUGGUAAUAAUGAUUUAUUGAUAACUAACUUUGUUUUAUUGUUUGUUUUACAGAUUUUUUUUUUUUUUUUUUUUUUUUUUUUUGAGGAAAGAUCAAAGAAAGUGCAUGAAGGUAUUGGUCACACAUCAGUGAAACUGUCGUAAACAUCACUUAUCUACAGGCUCAUACUCCGUCCGCUUGUGACGUUAGAGUGGUACCUGCUGAUACACUUGUAAAGUAGAGAUUGUAGCAAAAAUAAAAUAAAAUAAAUCAGCAAGUCUCGCCUCCGUGAUUUGACUCGAUCAUCGUGCUUCUGGCGUAAACCUCUGGCACAGAUUGCAGUCACUCAGAAGCCAGUCUCGACGGGAUGGUCGGGUUUGAACCGUGUAUUCGGAGAAGCAAACUUUGUCAGUCAUUCCCUCCAUCGCGCCAUCCACUAGAAACACGAUUAACAUGACGUGCAGGAGGAGGAUAAAUUCUCACCGAUAAUAACUGUUCCUGCUCAGCUAUUAAUGGACACACGCUGGCAUCUUUGCGUUCGGGAAAUACAAGAAGAACCAUAAUAAGAAGAGGAACAAGAUGUCCCGCAGUAUCUGCUGGUGGCAAACGAGUCCUCCCCCUUCCACACACCCACACACGCCACACAUACACGCGUCUAGAAACGCUCAGACACACUCACCACACCACGAAGAAAAAUAUCGCCAACACGCAUGCACGCACAAAGUCUGUACAACCCACGCGCACAUACACUAAACGCCACGUUCUCCUACGCACCACGCGUUCUUUUAGGAGAAGCUGUUGCCAGCAUUAAAACAACCGAGGGAACAUGGGGAAACAGCAAGCCCACCACUCUGCAACCAUGCAGACACGCUCAUCCCUGCGGAGGAUGGCCUGCCUCAGCAUGCGCACAUGCGCGGUCGACGUGCUCUUGACUCGGUCUCGAGCCAACAGGUCGGCCAAGGGCCUGGCCUACCAUGCCGGAGGUCAAGUCCCUGACAGAGCGAGGAAGCCCGUCUGUGGGCUUUGCCCUCUCGCUCUAUCGCCCUCCUGAGCGGAGCGCUGCACCACGGACGUACAUCGGUUGGACUGCUGGCAGUCUGCUGAGACCCAUGCUUAGCCUCUCUCCGAGUGGUUAACUGUCAGGUCUCGGUCGUCAUCUCCACUACCUCGUUCCCUGCAGCUUUGAGUCAGUUAACCAACAGACACAACAUAUCAUAAAAAGCUUGAAAAUGUUCACCUCCGUCAACGCGAGAGCUCGCAUCGUCUUCUCUUCCUUUUCGUGUUGACAGCGAAACCGGAAGCUCAUUCUCAAAGCCCCGUUCUAACGGUCAACAGCGAGAAAUAAAAAGGUGUCUGCCAACAUUCCAGUGUACGUCCGUGGUUGCACUGUAAAGUGUCUGGGGAGAGGACCUGAGCCGAAGACCGUCCAAAGAAACACAACGAAUUAACCCUCCUCUACAGGCAAACAAACAGACCCAACAUUGGACAUGCAGCUAACAUGGCUAGAGUGCAAAGGGCAAAGACAAACGGACCUACAGCCACUUCAUGACUCUGACUGCUUGAAAACAACGAAGCUGCAGGACGAUCAAGGUCUUGUUCUGUCCGAGUGUCUGCAUCCGGAGGUCGGACAACAAUUCCAGGGGCUGACAGAGCAGGCGGAGGGUUCAAGGACGUGCAUGCAAGUGUCAAGGAUAUCCGUUGCCAAAAGAUUUGCUCUUCGGAGCUCCACGAAGCAGUGUGGUAAACUACAUGUCUAUAUAAAAAAAAAAUCAAGUUUAAACAGC